rnacentral:rRNA from 1 species
UACAGGGGGGGCAAGCGUUGUUCGGAAUUACUGGGCGUAAAGGGCCUGUAGGCGGCCAACUAAGUCCGACGUGAAAUCCCCAGGCUUAACCUGGGAACUGCGUCGGAUACUGGAUGGCUUGAAUUCGGGAGAGGGAUGCAGAAUUCCAGGUGUAGCGGUGAAAUGCGUAGAUAUCGGGAAGAACACCCGUGGCGAAGGCGGUUCUCUGGGACGGUACUGACGCUGAGACGCGAAAGCGUGGGGAGCGAACAGG